GAAGAAAAACGAAGUUGAAAGCGAGUGAGAGAAAAAGCGAGUGACGGUUUAUCCUCUUCGGGCAGUGGCGAGUGGUUUACAAACCCUAAUUUCCCAAAAUUUCUCAAACUCUUUGCCCCACUCGCGGCGACAUCCCCCACUCGCUCACCUCUUUGUUUCAGCUUCUUCACCCUCCCUCAGAUUCUCUAUAUGCCCUGCACUUCAGGUCCAACUUCUGUUUUUUUUUUCCCUCUUCAAACCUCAAUUACGAACUGCUUCUUUCAUGCUCUCUUUCUUUCACUUUUUUUUUCUUCUAUUGUUGACUCUGUGAUUUGCUUGAGAUUUUUCCUGUGUUAAACAUUGUUGGGUUUGGUGUAUUAUGCUUUUUUUAAUGGGACGGAGCUAUUAUCGUUCGUAACAAUCGUGGUCUUUGUUUCUGAAGAAAGUGCUGGUUUUUUUCUUUUGGGGUGGGGGGUGGGAGUGUUGUUGGGAAAGUAGGGGAAUUUAGAAUUGGAAGGAUCGUCGAUGAUGGGAAGUUUAUGAAAGUGAAUUUUGGAAGUUUUAAGGAUUGAAAAAGUGUUGUGUAUUGUCGAUGUUGUGGAAAUUUUUAGCUGCUGGAUGGAAGUGUAUGCCGGUUUCUUGACAAUUCAAGUUCUGCUUCCUGUCUUAUUGCGAUCAAUCUCCACUGGCGAAUGAUGAACUUCAACACCUAGAGGAAUGCUAUGAAAUUACUGUGGCGUCCGUUUUAAUUCGGUGGCAAACUAUAUUACAUGGUGCCGGUCUCCAUGAAUGCUUCUUCAACUUUCUAAUAAGAGGCCCAAAAUUAUACCUAGUUUGGUCAAUUUGUCAGUAUCAAAUAUAAGUUGGCCACUUUUGAUGUAAAUCUUCAAUUGACGUGCCAUCUCAGAACCCCGCUCUACGACCAUUCUUUUAGUUUUUGUCUUAUAGCUAGGGGGUAUUAUGACCAAUUGGGCUGCCGACAGUUUGCCAAGUGUUCCGGCGUGAAUGAACCGAUGAUACCACUUUAGUGCCUAGUAUCCAGUAUGAUGUGAAGUCGAAAAUUGAACUACCUUAGCAUUAUGUCAUUUUCACUGUUCAGUAGAAUACUCAAGAGGAAUGCUUUUGCUGACAGGGGAAGAUUCAACGGAUCUGAUCCUUAUGAUAUCACUUCAGGAAAUAUGGAUCUAAAGUACCAAUAGAAAUUGGAAUGAAGUUUUGAAGAUACAAAGGCAUUUAAUAAAUUUGCUUCUAUGGGAUAGAUGAUUAAGCCUGUAUUUAUAGUUCCCUCUUUCUAUUUCUAACUUUGCAAAUUACAGUUUGUUCUAUUUUCGUUCCCAAUUAUUACUUUUUAAAUUUACCACUGUGUGGAGAAUAACUUCUCGAGACAUUUCAUGCAGCGUCAUUGGGAAAUUUAUGCUGUUCGGGUUUCAAUACAUAGAUGAAAUUGACAAUUUUCUGCAGGUUUUUUUUUGGUACAUUGUGAACGUUUGAAAUCUCAAUGACAGAGAGUUCAAAAUAUUAUUGUUGAGAUAAAAAUAUAAGAAAAGGAAAAUGCACCGUUGUUAUCUCAAGAUAUUAAUUUUAGUUCCUCUCCAUGCAAACAGCCUUUGAUUUUGUGAAUUGAUGUUGUAGAGUUAGGCAAGCAAGCAUCCAUAACCUGCUCCAGUGGUUGUGGGCAGAGUAGGUAUCUCUGAAAUUCAUUACCCUUGACUCUUCUCACCAUGGAUAUAGAUCUUAGGUUACCUUCUGGUGAGCAUGACAAAGAUGAAGAACCGAAUGGAAUCAGUAAUAUGUUGGAUGUGGAAGAAAAGCUUCAUAAUGGAGUUAUUGAGAGUGGAGAUAUGGUUGAUGCUACUAAUGGGAUGCACAUUGAAGAUGGUGGAAACUUAAAUUCCCCCAUGUUAGACAUAGUAAUGUUUAAAGAGGACACAAAUUUGGAACCACUUCCUGGCAUGGAAUUUGAAUCACACAGUGAAGCAUAUUCCUUCUAUCAGGAAUAUGCUCGCUCUAUGGGAUUCAACACGGCAAUACAAAAUAGCCGCCGUUCAAAGACAUCAAGAGAAUUUAUUGAUGCAAAAUUUGCUUGUUCCCGUUAUGGCAUGAAGAGAGAGUAUGAUAAAUCCUUCAAUCGUCCUCGUGUAAGGCAAACUAAGCAAGAAAGUGAAAAUUCGACUGGUCGAAGAGCAUGCGCAAAGACAGACUGCAAAGCUAGCAUGCACGUGAAGAGGAGGGCAGAUGGUAAAUGGGUCAUACAUAGUUUUGUUAAGGAGCAUAACCAUGAGCUUUUACCAGCUCAAGCUGUAAGUGAACAAACAAGAAAGAUGUAUGCUGCGAUGGCUAGGCAAUUUGCUGAGUACAAAAAUGUAGUAGGACUCAAGAAUGACCCCAAGAAUCCAUUUGACAAAGUUCGCAAUUUGGCUUUUGAUGCUGGAGAUGCAAAGAUUUUACUUGACUUUCUUACUCAGAUGCAGAAUUUGAACUCUAACUUUUUUUAUGCUGUAGAUAUUGGUGAUGAUCACCGACUAAGGAAUUUAUUUUGGAUUGAUGCAAAAAGUAGGCACGACUAUAGUUAUUUUAAUGAUGUAGUUUCUCUUGAUACUACCUACAUCAGAAAUAAAUAUAAGUUGCCGCUUGCUUUCUUUGUUGGAGUGAAUCAACACUAUCAAUUUAUGUUGCUUGGAUGUGCUUUACUAUCAGAUGAAACUCCAACAACGUAUGCUUGGUUAUUGAACAUAUGGUUAAAAGCAAUUGGUGGACAAGCUCCAAAGGUUAUUAUCACUGACCAUGAUAAAGUACUCAAAACAGCCGUUCAAGAGGUGCUUCCAAACACGUAUCAUCACUUCACUUUGUGGCACAUAUUAGGAAAAAUUUCUGAAAACCUUGGUAAUAUAAUUAAACAACAUGAGAAUUUUAUGGCAAAAUUUGAUAAAUGCAUCUACAAGUCAUGGACAAUUGAAGAGUUUGAGAAAAGGUGGUUGAAACUGGUUGAUAGAUUUGAACUCAAAGAAGAUGAAUUGGUUCAGUCCUUAUGUGAAGAUCAAAGACACUGGGCACCGACAUAUAUGAAAGAUGUAUUUUUGGCUGGAAUGUCCAUGCCUCAGCGAUCCGAAAGUGUGAACUCCUUCCUUGAUAAGUAUUUGCACAAGAAGACUACUGUGCAAGAAUUUGUGAAACAGUAUGAAACAAUUUUACAGGAUAGGUAUGAAGAGGAAGCAAAAGCUGAUUCUGAUACAUGGAACAAACAACCCACUUUAAGAUCUCCUUCACCAUUUGAGAAGAGUGUUUCGGGACUGUACACACAUGCGGUAUUUAAGAAGUUUCAAGUUGAGGUCUUAGGUGCUGUUGCUUGCUUUCCUAGGAAGGUCAAGGAAGAUGAGAAAAGCAUUACCUAUAAAGUUCAAGAUCUGGAAAAAGAACUAGACUUCAUUGUUGUAUGGAAUGGUUUGAAGUCAGAAGUUUCUUGUCUUUGCCGGUUGUAUGAGUAUAAAGGUUACCUUUGUAGACAUGCUAUGGUUGUUCUUCAAAAGUGUGAACUUUCUACUAUUCCAGUUCAAUAUAUUUUGAAGCGGUGGACAAAAGAUGCUAAAAGCCGACAAUUAAUGGGAGAAGAACUUGAGCCAGUACAAUCUCGGGUGCAACGGUACAACGAUCUAUGCCAGCGAGCAUUGAGAUUGAUUGAAGAGGGAUCUUUGUCCCAAGAGAGUUACAGUAUUGCAGCACAUGCACUCCAGGAAACUCUUGGGAAUUGUAUUAGUGUUAAUAAUUCUAAUAGAACAUUUUUAGAAGCUGGUACGUCAGCAGCUCAUGGUCUACUCUGCAUUGAAGAAGAUAGUCACAUUAGGAACAUAGGCAAAACAAACAAGAAAAAGAAUCCAACGAAGAAAAGGAAGGUGAAUUGCGAGCCAGAUGUCAUGACUGUUGGGGCUCAAGAUAGCUUGCAGCAGAUGGACAAAUUAAGCUCAAGAGCAGUAACCCUUGAUGGCUAUUUUGGCGCACAGCCCGGUGUGCAAGGAAUGGUACAACUUAACUUAAUGGCACCUACCCGUGAUAAUUAUUAUGGAAAUCAACAGGCCAUCCAGGGGCUGGGCCAAUUAAACUCAAUAGCACCCAGCCAUGAUGGUUAUUAUGCUGCUCAACAGAGUAUUCAUGGACUGGGACAAAUGGAUUUUUUCCGAACACCAGCUGGUUUCACCUAUGGCAUUCGGGACGAUCCCAAUGUACGAACUACUCAGUUGCAUGAUGAUGCAUCAAGACAUGCCUGAUUUAACCCCUAAUCAUAGAGAAGGUGGUUCACAAGUGGAAAUAAAUGUAUCUAUUUGUAUUUAGCUAUAAAAUGAACUUUGCACAUGAAGAGCAAAUUAUAACGAUCAUUUUGCAGGUGCAGGAAACAACACAUUCUUCUAGUCUGUAAAAAUAGAAUGUACUUUCCAAGUUAGUGGCUGGAGAUAUACUAAAUGUUGGUCCUCGAUUACACACAGUUGGGUUCAAGCGACGUGGCUUGACCUUGAGGAGGAACUCAGCAUCACUUUGGAUUGGAGCAGGAUCCGAGUUAAAAACUGAGUUUUUGUUUGAAUUGAUGCUUAUGCACCUAUCUAGGAGAUGUCAUGAAGCUCAUGCCAAACUUUAGACAGUCACGAUUGUUUUGAAAUAUAGUAAAGUGAAUUAAAAUGUUUACAAAUAUGAAAAAACAGUACCAUCAGUGAUAGAUUUUGAUAGACUAUUUAUAAUGUCUAUCAAAGAUAGAUGAUAGUGGUCUACUAGGGUCUAACAUUGUCUUUUGCUAAUGAUAGAAACAUUUUGCUA